rnacentral:rRNA from 1 species
GACGAACGCUGGCGGCGUGCUUAACACAUGCAAGUCGAACGGAAAGGCCCUGCUUUUGUGGGGUGCUCGAGUGGCGAACGGGUGAGUAACACGUGAGUAACCUGCCCUUGACUUUGGGAUAACUUCAGGAAACUGGGGCUAAUACCGGAUAGGAUCUCCUGCUGCAUGGUGGGGGUUGGAAAGUUUCGGCGGUUGGGGAUGGACUCGCGGCUUAUCAGCUUGUUGGUGGGGUAGUGGCUUACCAAGGCUUUGACGGGUAGCCGGCCUGAGAGGGUGACCGACCACAUUGGGACUGAGAUACGGCCCAGACUCCUACGGGAGGCAGCAGUGGGGAAUAUUGCACAAUGGGCGGAAGCCAGAUGCAGCAAAGCAGCGUGCGGGAUGACGGCCUUCGGGUUGUAAACCGAUUUCGCCUGUGACGAAGCGUGAGUGACGGUAAUGGGUAAAGAAGCACCGGCUAACUACGUG